GGCUGUAUUUCAUAAACGAUUGCUCAUGCUGUUUUUUACUUUUGAAAGAUGAAUUGAUUUCUCUCUCUCAUAUUUGAUUGAGGUAAUGAAAUAGUGACAACCAAAUAGAAUAAAAUUACAACUAAGUUGAUGAAUUAGUAGAGCACAAUUUUUUAUGGUGGUUUGUGGUUUUAUUUAAUGUACUUAUUUCAUGUCUACUAUAUAUCUGAGUUUGAAUAUUACUCAAGUUUAUUGUUAUUUGAUGCCUUUUCCAUCAUGUGUAUUCUUAGAAAUGAGUAUUGGGUUUAACUCAUCGUUACAAAACCGGCUUGUAAGAUGAGGAUUGCCUCUAGUAUAUAAACACUUAAAUCACUGUUUAUAUAAAGGUAUUUUAACAUUGCUUAAUUUGUCAUAAAUUUAGUUUUAAUAAAAAUGAGUAGACAGUAAUUUUAGACCUUCCUUAAUUUUAGUUUCAUAUUUGUCAUUUGUCUUUUCUUUUCCCUAAAUUGUUCUUUGAUUGAAGAAGCAAGCUAAAGAGAUUUGUGGCACUUUGCAGCUUACACUACAACAUUUUUGCUUUUAAAUAACAAUUCAAAACUGUAGCCUAAACCAUGAAAAUUGUUGUCCAUAGGUACAGGGAACAGUUUUCGACUGAGUGUUACUCAAUAAUUAUUUAGUACUAUAUUAAAUAGUUGAAAAUUAUGAUUCAUUAAUCACAUUAUAAGUUUCAUAUUACUCCUGAGACGCAAAUUUUAUUGUGGGAUGGUAACAAAUAUUGAUGACGAUUUGCAUGCAUCAUCAUCCCGUGAUGAUUCAUAUCCAAAAACUAGGAGUAAAGAUAGUUCUGAUUGGCGUAUAUGGAUCCGUCCAUGACCAAAAUUAACGUAAGAUUUUUAUAUUAACUUGUAUACUUGUAUCUUACUGGAGGGUCAAUUUCAACAACUAAGCAUUUUAAGAGAAGGGUAAGUAAUUAAAUUAGAUUUUGUAGAUUAAUUUUAGUUUUAAUUAAUGCUAAUCUAUUUAUAUUUGGAAAAAAUAAAAAAUCCCUGUUUGUGACGGAAUAAACCGUCGCUAAAUCAGGU
rnacentral:lncRNA from 1 species